rnacentral:sRNA from 1 species
UUGCGAUGAGUCGAUAUGUAGCGAGAGCUACUAUUGAGCAAAGGAGGUCAUAACGCAGGAGCGGACCUUGAGAAAUUGUGUGAACCGAUUUCUCACAUGGAGAUGCCUCUCAAGCUUUCUGGUUUUUCCAGAGAGCUUUUUU